AGAGUUUGAUCCUGGCUCAGGAUGAACGCUAGCGGCAGGCUUAACACAUGCAAGUCGAGGGGCAACAGGUGUAGCAAUACAUGCUGGCGACCGGCGCACGGGUGAGUAACGCGUAUGCAACAUACCUUUUACAAGAGGAUAGCCCGGAGAAAUUCGGAUUAAUACUCUAUAAGACCACGAUCCGGCAUCGGAUAGGGGUCAAAGCUACGGCGGUAAAAGAUUGGCAUGCGUGAUAUUAGAUAGUUGGUGAGGUAACGGCUCACCAAGUCUAUGAUAUCUAUGGGAUCUGAAAGGAUGUCCCCACACACUGGUACUGAGACACGGACCAGACUCCUACGGGAGGCAGCAGUGAGGAAUAUUGGUCAAUGGGCGUAAGCCUGAACCAGCCAUGCCGCGUGAAGGAUGACUGCUCUAUGAGUUGUAAACUUCUUUUCUACGGGGGUAAUGUAUAGAACGUGUUCUGUAUUGAAAGUACUGUAGGAAUAAGCAUCGGCUAACUCCGUGCCAGCAGCCGCGGUAAUACGGAGGAUGCGAGCGUUAUCCGGAUUUACUAGGUUUAAAGGGUGCGUAGGCGGCUUUUUAAGUCAGUGGUGAAAUUUAACUGCUUAACAGUUAAACUGCCAUUGAUACUGAAGAGCUUGAGUGUAGAUGAGGCAGGCGGAAUGUGUAAUGUAGCGGUGAAAUGCAUAGAUAUUACACAGAACACCAAUUGCGAAGGCAGCUUGCUAAACUACAACUGACGCUGAUGCACGAAAGCGUGGGGAUCAAACAGGAUUAGAUACCCUGGUAGUCCACGCCGUAAACGAUGAUUACUGGCUGUGUGCGAUAUAUUGUACGCGGCUGAGCGAAAGCAUUAAGUAAUCCACCUGGGGAGUACGGCGGCAACGCUGAAACUCAAAGGAAUUGACGGGGGCCCGCACAAGCGGAGGAACAUGUGGUUUAAUUCGAUGAUACGCGAGGAACCUUACCUGGGCUUGAAAUUGUGCUGCAUGGAGCAGAGAUGUUCCUUUCCCUUCGGGGACUGCAUAGUAGGUGCUGCAUGGCUGUCGUCAGCUCGUGCCGUGAGGUGUCGGGUUAAGUCCCAUAACGAGCGCAACCCCUAUCAUUAGUUGCCAGCGGGUCAUGCCGGGGACUCUAGUGAGACUGCCAGCGUAAGCUGAGAGGAAGGUGGGGAUGACGUCAAGUCAGCACGGCCCUUACGUCCAGGGCUACACACGUGUUACAAUGGCCGGCACAGAGGGUUGCAAGUUGGUGACAACAAGCGAAUCUCUAAAAACCGGUCUCAGUUCGGAUCGGAGUCUGCAACUCGACUCCGUGAAGCUGGAUUCGCUAGUAAUCGCGCAUCAGCAACGGCGCGGUGAAUACGUUCCCGGGCCUUGUACACACCGCCCGUCAAGCCAUGGGAGCCGAGGGUACCUAAAGUUCGUAACCGCAAGGAGCGACCUA
rnacentral:rRNA from 1 species